UGUUUUUGGUAACUUUUCUAUGAUAAAGAUUCAAGAAAACACUUGUGCAUUUUUCACCAUUUUCCAUCCAAUCCGCUUUAUUCUUGUAAAACAUUACACUUGUUCGUUCUUAUAAGUACCUCCAAUUCUUUUAGUUUUUCCUGUAACCAAUGUUGUGCCUCUUUAGGCAUUAACUCUGCAUUUUUAAGGUUGGGGUUAAGUUUAGGAAUGAACUCAGAAAUCUUAAGGUUAGGCAUGAACUCUGAAUGGUUAAGGUAAGGGUUAAGGUUUGGGAUAGGCUUAAAACAAAAACUUCAAAAACAACUUUCUAUCACUGGAUUUCAACAUGCAACCUUUUGCAUCAGAGGCAAACGCCCAUCCACCAUCCCUGUCCGCAACACCCUUGAAUGUAACAGCACUCACUGUUGCCCCUAGUGGCUGGUUCCCACAUCAUCUCCCAACAUCCUCAGACAUGGAUGGAUGUCUAGUACUGACUUGUAUCACGGGUGACCUGGCUGGUUUAUCAUAUGUCUGAUGUGUUCUUGUGUGUGUGUGUGUGUGUGUGUUCGUGUUCCAGGCGACGGGCAGAAGAUCUCGGCAGGUGGACAAUAGUCCGGAGGGGGUGUGGUCUGCCUGGGAGGAGUGGUCAGGAUGUUCUCAGAGUUGUGGAGUGGGCGUGUCACAGAGAACCAGAAAGUGUGAAGCCCCUCCCCGUCCCCUAACUCCACCCCUCUCCCACUCUCCUCCAAUCUGGGAGGGUUCAUCGUUCCUCCCAGGGAGGGCAGGGGGUCCCAACCAUGGCUCUGUCAUCUCCGCCAUCCACCCCUUCUACCGCCCUCGUUACUCUAGCAACCAGCCAUCCCAAUACGGGGGAGGAGGUGGGGGAGGGACAGAGAGACAGCCAGACCCCUUCUAUCCCCCCUCACUCCCAUCAUCCAUUCAGAACCCAGGACUGUCUCUCUAUCGGGACACUCCUAUAGGAGGAGGGGCAGGAGCUGUGCCAGCGCAGUCCUCCAAUCCCACGUCUCCCCUCUAUCGCCCGGAAUUCUCAUUACCCAAUCAGGAGCCAGGUUCUGUUUAUCGCUCCCCCUCAUUUCCUGCCCCCCCAUCCAGCUACAGCCAACCAGCACAGGCCGCCCGCCGGCCAACCAAUCCUGGAACAGGGAGGGCGGGAGGAAGUGGCAGCAGAAGGUCAGUGUUGCCCAAUAGGGGGGCUCUGCCUGCUAGUAGGUCCUCUUCUAUCCGUCCGGGUCAGUUUGGUUACGGCAGGGUUCCCUUCUCUCUGCCAUUACACCGGCAAAACCGGCAGGCCCGCCACACUGAGCACGGCAAUGCUACCAUAGCAACCCUGGUACUAGAGACCGAGGGGCAGGAGGGAACUGUUGUUAACAUUGACCAAAUGGACAGACCCGGAGAAGGAGAAGAGAAGAGGAGGGGAGAGAAGGAGAGGGAGGGAGGCAAGAACCACAAACUGAAUAGGGGAGAGAGGGAGCAUGAGAGGAGAGAGGAGGAGAGGAAGACAGAGGGGGAGAGUACGGAGUCACCUGUCGCUAAGGCAUUAAUAAUGACAACCAUAGCUAAACCAGAAAGGAAUGGUCAGAGGGACACGGACACUCACAGACAGAUGGACAGACAGAGACAAGCUGCUGCGGAGCGAGGGAGGGAGAGAGGGAGAGAAAGAGAGAGAGUACCCUCGACACUCCCUCACUCACACAGGCCAUCUCCCUUCCAGCCCAACCACGACAGAAUCAUUGAUAGACGUGCCCCUCCUCCCCUCCCCCCUCUGCCUCACCCCCACUCCCCCUCUCUCUCUCACCCCUACUCCCCCCCUCUCCACCACUCCUCUUCCCAGCACAGAGAGAGAGAGUCCCCCUAUGGGUUCAACCCUCAGCUCCAAUCCCCUCACCCUGGACCCCCCCAACCCAACAUCUACCCCCUGCAACAUCAGCAGCACCCCCAUCCCCUGGCCGAGGGGGAGACAGGGGGACAGAGAUUACCCCCCCAGAACUACAGGUGUUCGGGAGCAGAGAAUGAGUAUCGUCGGUGCUUCUCACAGGUAUGUGUAGGAGGUGCAGACUCCAGAGCAGAGCAGUGUGCUUCCUACAACAACCAGGAGUUUAUGGGCAGACUGUACGACUGGGAACCUUUCACUGAGGGUAAGUUACACACACACACACACACAUUCACACACACAGACGUACAGACACACACACACAUGCACAGACACUAUAUGAUUGUUUAA
ensembl:lncRNA